rnacentral:rRNA from 1 species
GGGUUGUGAGGUUAAGCGACUAAGCGUACACGGUGGAUGCCCUGGCAGUCAGAGGCGAUGAAGGACGUGCUAAUCUGCGAUAAGCGUCGGUAAGGUGAUAUGAACCGUUAUAACCGGCGAUUUCCGAAUGGGGAAACCCAGUGUGUUUCGACACACUAUCAUUAACUGAAUCCAUAGGUUAAU